UACGUAGGGGGCAAGCGUUGUCCGGAAUCAUUGGGCGUAAAGAGCGCGUAGGCGGCCCUGUAAGUCCGCUGUGAAAGUCAAGGGCUCAACCCUUGGAUGCCGGUGGAUACUGUCGGGCUAGAGUCCGGAAGAGGCGAGUGGAAUUCCUGGUGUAGCGGUGGAAUGCGCAGAUAUCAGGAGGAACACCAACGGCGAAGGCAGCUCGCUGGGACGGUACUGACACUGAGGCGCGAAAGCGUGGGGAGCGAACAGG
rnacentral:rRNA from 1 species